UACGGGGGGGGCAAGCGUUGUUCGGAAUUACUGGGCGUAAAGGGCUCGUAGGCGGCCAACUAAGUCAGACGUGAAAUCCCUCGGCUUAACCGGGGAACUGCGUCUGAUACUGGAUGGCUUGAGAUUGGGAGAGGGAUGCGGAAUUCCAGGUGCAGCGGUGAAAUGCGUAGAUAUCUGGAGGAACACCGGUGGCGAAGGCGGCAUCCUGGACCAACACUGACGCUGAGUGAGCGAAAGCCAGGGGAGCAAACGGG
rnacentral:rRNA from 1 species